CCUACGGGAGGCAGCAGUGAGGAAUAUUGGUCAAUGGGCGCGAGCCUGAACCAGCCAAGUAGCGUGAAGGAUGACUGCCCUACGGGUUGUAAACUUCUUUUAUAAAGGAAUAAAGUGAGGCACGUGUGCCUUUUUGUAUGUACUUUAUGAAUAAGGAUCGGCUAACUCCGUGCCAGCAGCCGCGGUAAUACGGAGGAUCCGAGCGUUAUCCGGAUUUACUGGGUUUAAAGGGAGCGUAGGUGGGAUGUUAAGUCAGAUGUGAAAGUUUGCGGCUUAACCGUAGAAUUGCAUUUGAUACUGGCAUCCUAGAGUACAGUAGAGGUAGGCGGAAUGCGUGGUGUAGCGGUGAAAUGCGUAGAGAUCACGAAGAACUCCGAUUGCGAAGGCAGCUUACUAAACUGCCACUGACAUUGAUGCGCGAAAGUGUGGGUAUCAAACAGGAUUAGAUACCCGAGUAGUC
rnacentral:rRNA from 1 species